rnacentral:siRNA from 1 species
AUAGUCCCGUUUAAUGGCUCCUGC